CUCUUCGGAGUUAGUGGCGGACGGGUGAGUAACACGUGGGAACGUGCCUUUAGGUUCGGAAUAACUCAGGGAAACUUGUGCUAAUACCGAAUGUGCCCUUCGGGGGAAAGAUUUAUCGCCUUUAGAGCGGCCCGCGCCUGAUUAGCUAGUUGGUGGGGUAAUGGCCCACCAAGGCUACGAUCAGUAGCUGGUCUGAGAGGAUGACCAGCCACAUUGGGACUGAGACACGGCCCAAACUCCUACGGGAGGCAGCAGUGGGGAAUCUUGCGCAAUGGGCGAAAGCCUGACGCAGCCAUGCCGCGUGUAUGAUGAAGGUCUUAGGAUUGUAAAAUACUUUCACCGGUGAAGAUAAUGACUGUAGCCGGAGAAGAAGCCCCGGCUAACUUCGUGCCAGCAGCCGCGGUAAUACGAAGGGGGCUAGCGUUGCUCGGAAUUACUGGGCGUAAAGGGAGCGUAGGCGGACAUUUAAGUCAGAGGUGAAAUCCCGGAGCUUAACUUCGGAACUGCCUUUGAUACUGGGUGUCUUGAGUGUGAGAGAGGUAUGUGGAACUCCGAGUGUAGAGGUGAAAUUCGUAGAUAUUCGGAAGAACACCAGUGGCGAAGGCGACAUACUGGCUCAUUACUGACGCUGAGGCUCGAAAGCGUGGGGAGCAAACAGGAUUAGAUACCCUGGUAGUCCACGCCGUAAACGAUGAUUGCUAGUUGUCGGGAAGCUUGCUUCUCGGUGACGCAGCUAACGCA
rnacentral:rRNA from 1 species